GCCCAGGUGGUGAAAUUGGUAGACACGCUACUUUGAGGGGUAGUGAGCGCAAGCUCGUGUGAGUUCGAGUCUCGUCCUGGGCA
rnacentral:tRNA from 1 species